rnacentral:rRNA from 1 species
UGGCUCAGGACGAACGCUGGCGGCGUGCCUAAUACAUGCAAGUCGAGCGAAUCUGAUAAAAGCUUGCUUUUUGAAGAUUAGCGGCGGACGGGUGAGUAACACGUGGGCAACCUGCCUGUAAGACUGGGAUAACUUCGGGAAACCGGAGCUAAUACCGGAUAAUAUAAAGAACCUCCUGGUUCUUUAUUGAAAGAUGGUUUCGGCUAUCACUUACAGAUGGGCCCGCGGCGCAUUAGCUAGUUGGUGAGGUAAUGGCUCACCAAGGCGACGAUGCGUAGCCGACCUGAGAGGGUGAUCGGCCACACUGGGACUGAGACACGGCCCAGACUCCUACGGGAGGCAGCAGUAGGGAAUCUUCCACAAUGGACGAAAGUCUGAUGGAGCAACGCCGCGUGAGCGAUGAAGGCCUUCGGGUCGUAAAGCUCUGUUGUUAGGGAAGAACAAGUACCGGAGUAACUGCCGGUACCUUGACGGUACCUAACCAGAAA